UACAUACUAGCCAAAUGGUAAGGCGAAGGUAAUGGGUACCUUAAUUUCUAGGUUCGAUUCCUGGGUAUAUCAACA
rnacentral:tRNA from 1 species